UGUGGGAGCUGGCUUGCCUGCGAUAGCGAUAUGUCAGUCACCAAUGCGUUGACUGACCGUCCGCUAUCGCAGGCAAGCCAGCUCCCACA
rnacentral:misc_RNA from 1 species